rnacentral:lncRNA from 1 species
UGGCAUCAGACGUCCAACCAGCAUUUAGCAUCAGCUCAAUUGCAUUAGGAGCCCAUAUGCGAUUUCAGCCAGUAGCGGUCUAAAGCUUCUCAUUAUCAGCUGCAAUUAAAAACAACAACAACACUCCCAUCGGAUAUGCAGCAUUUUGAUUCUGUGGGCUUCAACCCAUCAGCGGCCCAAUUUCUAAGCGCACCAGUAAUGCUCCUUUCAGCACGUGGCAGCAACAUCAUUUCAGUCUUCCAGACAAUAUUACAAAUUCCAACAGCAACAUUUAUCAAUGGCCCAAUUUCAAGUGUGGCCCAAUACAAACUUUG